UGGGGAAUAUUGGACAAUGGGGGCAACCCUGAUCCAGCCAUGCCGCGUGAGUGAUGAAGGCCUUCGGGUUGUAAAGCUCUUUUGGCGGGGACGAUGAUGACGGUACCCGCAGAAUAAGCCCCGGCUAACUUCGUGCCAGCAGCCGCGGUAAGACGAAGGGGGCUAGCGUUGUUCGGAAUUACUGGGCGUAAAGCGAGUGUAGGCGGUUGCCGUAGUCAGGUGUGAAAGCCUUGAGCUCAACUCAAGAAAUGCACUUGAUACUGGGUGACUAGAGGACCGGAGAGGAUAGUGGAAUUCCCAGUGUAGUGGUGAAAUACGUAGAGAUUGGGAAGAACACCAGUGGCGAAGGCGGCUAUCUGGACGGUUACUGACGCUAAGACUCGAAAGCGUGGGGAGCAAAACAGGAUUAGAUACCCUGGUAGUCCACGCCGUAAAACGAUGGGUGCUAGACGUUGGCGAGCUUGCUCGUCAGUGUCGCAGCU
rnacentral:rRNA from 1 species